GAAAUGAAGUAUAUUUUCAUGCUACAGAAGAAGACCUACUGAAAGCAUGGGUUUGACAGCAUUUUGAAGAAAAUCACUAAAUUGCUGUAAGCUGGAAUCCAGGUUGAUUCUUUCCUGCUGUGGAUAUAUUACUGCCUACUUUGGAGUAGCACCUUUUAUUUCAGGAGGUGACCUGCAAUGCAGCUCUAGAUAUCUGCAAAGUUAAGUCCCAUUGAAUUCAUUGAGGCUUACUGUCAGAGUCCAGGAAGAAACUGACAAAACACCAAAACAAGACUGAAUGGUAAUCAUAGGCAAGUGAAAUGCCGAAAUAGAAGCACAGCAGAAUCAAGCAGAAGAGCUGAAAAACUCCUCUUUAUUCAUGGGAUGAUGAUGGGAUUUUUGUGACGUCAUGUGACAUUGUCUGAUAAUCUCUUCUCAGUUGCAUGAAAUGAGAUCAUCCCACUAUACUCCUGUGACUUUUGCCCAUCUCAAAAUCUCCAUAGACAAGGAAUAUGCUAGCAGUUGUGCACAAAUUGUGUAUCAAGCUUGGGCACCACUGUGCAAAGGAGUUGCAAUUAUCUUGAAGCAGCAGAACAUCUUGAAGAAAUAAUGUCCAAGACAACAUAUUUCCCUUGCUGAGAGAGGGCUGGUGUUUCCAGGAUGGCAACUAGAAUGUUUGAGUGUGUGUGUGUAUGUGUAUGUAUGUAUAUGUGUACUUCAAAAAAGAUUUUUUAAAAACCCACAGUGAUCAAUAAUGACAGUUAUAGUCAGUCCAGCCCAUGUAAAUGGGUAGAGAGGUUAAAUGUAAUUCGUUUGCCUGAAACUUCUGUUAAUGUAGCAUUUGCCAUCAGUUUUGCCUUUGCUAAUAAUUGAAAUGUGUUGCUUUUUGCUUUAAAAAUAAGCAAGUGGAACUCUGGGAAAAGGAGAGGAGAAUGCAUAGGCCAAGGGUGGCUCAGAAAGAAAAAUAAAAAGAUACUGCAGAGCUAUUCUGUCUUCCCUCCAUAGUGGAUUUUAUGCGGAGGAAAGAGGAAAGAAAUGAUGGGAAAAUAUGUGAGGGUAGCAUGUAAGAAACAUUUGAAUCUCCACACAAUUCUGUAAAUGAGAAAGAUUGUAUAAUAAAAACAUAUUUGGGAAGGUUAGAAUUCUGAAUUAUGUGAUAGAUCUAUUAGACCUCUGCUGAGCUUUUAAUGCAUUUCAACAUUUUCCACGUUUGAUUAUCUGCCUC